UACGUAGGGGGCAAGCGUUAUCCGGAAUUACUGGGUGUAAAGGGAGCGUAGACGGUAAUGUAAGUCUGGAGUGAAAGGCGGGGGCCCAACCCCCAGACUGCUCUGGAAACUAUGUUACUAGAGUGCAGGAGAGGUAAGCGGAAUUCCUAGUGUAGCGGUGAAAUGCAUAGAUAUCACGCAGAACUCCGAUUGCGAAGGCAGCGCACCGGCGCCCUACUGACGCUCAGGCACGAAAGCGUGGGUAUCGAACAGG
rnacentral:rRNA from 1 species